UUUCCAUUAAAAAAGUGUAAAAAGUCAAAAAUGCCUUUUAGCUCCUCCUCCUAUCUCUCGCCUCCAAAGGAUCCAAACUUCAAUCUUAUCUACCACUCACAUAGUAGCUCCAGGAGUCAAACUCAAAAGCAAUGUCAAAGCCGCCGAUUUCAUAGCCAUUGGUCUGUAAAUGACCGGCUAUGGUGCCAGUCCUUCGAAUACGACUGAUUCGACGUUCGCUACUUCAAGGCUAAAGAUUCUGUCGAGAAAUUCACCAUUCUUUAGUUCGAUGUCUGCCCUUUCAAAUGGAAUUCUCACCGAUACUCCUUUCUUGCUCACCUAUCGAUUCUCUUUCUCACCCUACCACUCCCGCAUCUUUUUAGUGUCGGCUGUCUCCAACGAAAAGCUCGCAUUCUUAUUGAGUUUAUUAAAGCUCAAGGAUGGACCGAGAAUCAUAUACUUUUGGAUCACGAAGUAUAGCAGAAAGGUUUGGUGAGAUUAGGAUUUUAGAAUUUUCUGUUUUUUAUAAUUUGUUUUAUUUUUGGUUUUGCUUUGUUUGGGUUCUCGUUUGGAAAGUGGAGGAAACGAAAUUAGAAUUUAA